UUAGCCAUGCUAGUCACACGAGUUCAGACUCGUGGCGAAUAGCUCAGUAACACGUGGCCAAACUACCCUUCGGAACACAAUACCCUCGGGAAACUGAGGCUAAUAGUGUAUACCAUACCACCACUGGAAUGAGUGGUAUGCCAAACGCUCCGGCGCCGAAGGAUGUGGCUGCGGCCGAUUAGGUAGACGGUGGGGUAACGGCCCACCGUGCCAAUAAUCGGUAUGGGUCAUGAGAGUGAGAACCCAGAGACGGAAUCUGAGACAAGAUUCCGGGCCCUACGGGGCGCAGCAGGCGCGAAACCUUUACACUGCACGACAGUGCGAUAGGGGGAUCCCAAGUGCACAGGCAUAGCGCCUGUGCUUUUCGGUACCCUAAGGCGGUACCAGAAUAAGGGCUGGGCAAGACCGGUGCCAGCCGCCGCGGUAAUACCGGCAGCCCAAGUGAUGGCCGAUCUUAUUGGGCCUAAAGCGUCCGUAGCUGGCCGCGCAAGUCCAUCGGGAAAUCCACCUGCUCAACAGGUGGGCGCCCGGUAGAAACUGCGUGGCUUGGGACCGGAAGGCGCGACGGGUACGUCCGGGGUAGGAGUGAAAUCCCGUAAUCCUGGACGGACCGCC
rnacentral:rRNA from 1 species